AAUGGAGUGCAUGUUUAGCACUGAUAAAGACAAAAGCGAUAAUUUCCUAUGUUGUAUACAGAGAUAGCUACUUGGAUUUGUAUUGCCUCCUUUGUGAGAACACAUGAGUUGUGACAAAUGUGAAAAAAGUCCCUCCUCUUUGGAUGAUGUAGAAACACCCAUAAUGCAGCACACACUCUUGCUUCCCAUUUAGAAUCCUCAGUUCUGUUUCUGCCUACCAAGAGAAAGGUAGAUUUAUUGAAGCUCAGACUAAAAUAAGAUGAUCCUCUAGUGGGUUCACAUGUUCCAGAUAAGCAGAUGAGGAAUCAGCUACUUUCCUACAUCUUCCAGUGAUGCACCAAUAUGGAC